CCUACGGGAGGCAGCAGUGGGGAAUAUUGCGCAAUGGGCGAAAGCCUGACGCAGCAACGCCGCGUGGGGGAUGAAGGCCUUCGGGUUGUAAACCCCUUUCAGCAGGGAAGAAGCGAAAGUGACGGUACCUGCAGAAGAAGCACCGGCUAACUACGUGCCAGCAGCCGCGGUAAUACGUAGGGUGCAAGCGUUGUCCGGAUUUAUUGGGCGUAAAGAGCUCGUAGGCGGUUAGUCACGUCGGAUGUGAAAUCCCGGAGCUUAACUCCGGGCCUGCAUUCGAUACGGGCUGACUCGAGUGUUGUAGGGGAGACUGGAACUCCUGGUGUAGCGGUGAAAUGCGCAGAUAUCAGGAAGAACACCGGUGGCGAAGGCGGGUCUCUGGGCAACUACUGACGCUGAGGAGCGAAAGCGUGGGGAGCAAACAGGAUUAGAUACCCUGGUAGUCCACGCCGUAAACGGUGGGCGCUAGGUGUGGGGAACAUUCCACGUUCUCUGCGCCGCNGCUACGCAUAGCGCCCGCCGUCGGGAGGUACGGCCGGCGACGACGUAAACUACAAAGAAGUAGACGGCGUGAGACGUCGCCGACGGACGACGACGAGGGAGAGG
rnacentral:rRNA from 1 species